CCCCAGGGACCGGCUUCAGCGAGGGCUGGCAGCAGCACCCUCCCGCACCUGUCCUUCUUGGGGGCAAGUGGGGGCAGGAGCUCUCCCCUCUGCUGGCUUUGGCUCUGGUCCGGUGCACACCGGGGGCCCUGAGGCCGCAUGUAGGUGCCCUCGUGCUUACCUGCUGCUCGCGUGCACAUGUUCAGCAGAGCCUCGUGCCUCUGACGCCGGGGCACUCCCCAGGGGACUUGGGAAGGUUGGGACGGCUGCACUUGCUCUCAGUGGAAACGCUCGGCCAGCUCCCCGCAGACCCUGGCCGCCUGACACUUGUGGCCUCAAAGGUCCAGGACCUCCUGCCCAAGGGUGUAGGCCCGGCCCUGACACCCCCAUCGCUCUGGCUGCACGGAGGUGGCAGUCACCUGUCCACAGAGGACAGCACAGCUCCAGGUGGCUCCAGAGGCUCCCUGGUGACAAUCAGUCUGAUUUCAGACGUGCAGUAGCGCCCACCUCAGCUGCUCCCUUCUGUGCGAGCCUCCCACUUCCCGCCUGCCCAGGCUCAGUCUCCAGGAAGGACGAGGGCAGGCCUGUGCCUUUUCUGGGUGCUCAGCAGAGUAGGGGAGAGAACCAGGAAGCCGGGGCUCGGGGGCUCGGGGGCUCAGGGGCAGGGCUGGGCCUGAGAGGAAGGCCACUUCCUGCACCACCUCUGAGAGCUCACCUGUGAUGCUUCAGACAGCAGGUGGGGAGACCCGCCCCCCGGGGGGGGUGCCUCCAUUCCCCCGGGGGGGUCCCCAGGAAGUGCUCUGUGUCAGCCCCAGGUAAACAAAGGCCAACUGCCCUUGGGACCCUGCCUCCUGAUGCACCAUUUUCCACCCCAGGCACAAUAGCCAGAGGCUUUGGGUCCUUGCACGUGCCUGGGGUGCCCACCACUGCCUGGACUUGCCCUCUGCCCCUUCUCUACUUCCUCCCCACCCAGCUGGCAGAGGCAGGGGGAGUCAGUUCAGGAGGAAGGAUACUGGCCCCACGCUGGGGGCAGAGGGUGGGGCCUGGGCCUAAGGAGGGGGCCACGGCCUGGAGUCUGUUCUCUGCCCUAGUAGUGAACAGCCUACACCACGGGCAUCCCCACCCAUCAGACACCCCCAUCCCUCAGGGGGUGCCCAUGGUGGACUGGGGAUGCACAAAAAGACUGUAGGAUCGGGGCGCCUGGGUGGCUCAGUCAGUUAAUCUGCCUUCGGCUCAGGUCAUGAUGCUAGGGUCCUGGGACGGAGCCCCACAUCAGGCUCCCUGCUUGGUGGGGAGUCUGCUUCUCCCUCUGCCACUCCCCCUGCUUGUGCUCACUCUCUCUCUCUCUCUCAAAUAAAUAAAAUCUUUUUAAAAAAAGACUGUAGGAUCUCCUGGAUUGUGGAGAAGAGAGCCCUCUCCUGCCUGGGGAGCUCGGAGCGCAGGGCCGCAGGGUCUCUGGCCUCGGAUCAUACCUUUGACACCCAUUCACAGACACGCCCGACACCAGCACCCCCCCCAGACCAGAGGGGCCAGCCGUAGAGGAGGGGCUUCUGCCCCGGGGCCUGGCGCCUAGGAUAGGCCCCUCUGCUGCGGCAGCUGAGGCUGGGAGAUACCCGGCAAGGGAUACCUGGCGGCUGCUGGGGCGCAGCGAGGCCUGCCUCGGGAAGAUCUUAGAACCUCGCCCUGCGUAGUCGCCAGGCACAUCCCCACGGGUGAGGGGCUCCCGAUCCGCCUACCCGUCCACCGGCGCCCCAGCUCUGGGGGGUGGGGUCUGCGGGUCCAGGGGGCCCACGGGGCGGGCGUUGGGGGCCGUCCGCCGGGAGCCCCAGGGGGCGGGGCCGAGUCGAAGGGGCGGGGCGUUCUCGUCCCGCCCCCGCCCUUCCCCCCGCGCCCGCCGGCUCCCGGGUCUCUAACCUGCCGCUCAGGUUCCUCCUCGCGGUCCCGCCCCGGCCCGGCCCAGCCGCGCGUCCCUCCCGCUGCCGAGCCCGGGCCGCCCAGGCGAGGAGCGGACAGACAGGCGGACGGACGCGCGGACAAGGGGACCCACGGGCGGCGCAGGCACGGGGCCGCGAGGAGCAGGUGUGGGCCGGGCACUAGGCCCUGGACUCAGGCCACAAGGUUGCCCUUCCAUCACCAGCCACCACCAAGGACGCCAUGAGCCAGUUGGGGUCUGUGAGCUGCUGCCCAGGUGCUGCCAAUGGCAGCCUGGGCCGGUCUGACAGUGUGGCCAAGAUGAGUGCCAAGGACCUGUUUGAACAGAGGAAGAAGUACUCCAACUCCAACAUCAUCAUGCAUGAGACCUCCCAGUACCACGUCCAGCACCUGGCCACGUUCAUCAUGGACAAGAGUGAGGCCAUUGUGUCCGUGGAUGACGCCAUCCGGAAACUGGUGCAGCUGAGCUCCAAGGAGAAGGUGUGGACGCAGGAGAUGCUGCUGCAGGUCAAUGACCAGUCUCUGCGGCUGCUGGAUGUGGAGUCCCAGGAGGAACUGGAAAACUUCCCGCUGCCCACGGUGCGGCACAGCCAGACGGUGCUGAACCAGCUGCGGUACCCCUCCAUUCUGCUGCUCGUGUGCCAGGACUCGGAGCAGAGCAAACCCGACAUCCACUUCUUCCACUGCGACGAGGUGGAGGUGAGAGGGGCGGCGGCCGGGAGGGCCCCGGUGCGCCUGCGCCUGCCUGAUACCCGGUGCCCCCAGGCGGAGCUGGUGCACGAGGACGUCGAGAGCGCGCUGGCCGACUGCCGUCUAGGGAAGAAGCUGAGGCCACAGACCCUGAAGGGCCACCAGGAGAAGAUCCGGCAGCGGCAGUCCGUCCUGCCCGCUCCCAGGGGCCCAGCGCCCAUCCCCUUCCAGCGCUACGGCAGUGACUCCCCGCCCGCCAAGAAUCGAGUGGGCCCGCCGAUGCCACUCACUGAGCCAAGCUUCCGCCGUCGGGAGUCGCAGGAUGAGGAGCCCCGCGCUGUGCUGGCUCAGAAGAUAGAAAAGGAAACGCAAAUCCUCAACUGUGCCCUGGACGACAUUGAGUGGUUCGUGGCUCGGCUGCAGAAGGCGGCGGAAGCUUUCAAACAGCUGAACCAGCGCAAGAAGGGGAAGAAGAAAGGGAAGAAGGGGCCAGCAGAGGGUGUCCUUACACUGCGUGCACGGCCCCCCUCUGAGGCCCAGUUCAUCGACUGUUUUCAGAAAACCAAGCUGGCUAUCAACCUGCUGGCCAAGCUGCAGAAGCACAUUCAGAACCCCAGCGCUGCAGAACUCGUGCACUUCCUCUUUGGACCUCUAGACCUGAUCGUCAGCACCUGUGGGGGCCCAGACAUCGCACGCUCCGUGUCCAGCCCACUGCUUUCCCGCGAGGCCGUGGGCUUCCUGCGAGGCCACCUAGUCCCCAAGGAGAUGACGCUGUGGGAUUCGCUGGGGGAGACAUGGACACGCCCCCGUUCUGAGUGGCCCCAGGAGCCGCAGGUGCCCCUCUACGUGCCCAAGUUCCACAGUGGCUGGGAGCCACCCCUGGACGUGCUGCAGGAGGCUCCCUGGGAAGUGGAGGGGCUGGUGUCUGCCCCCGACGAUGAGCCGACUCCAGCGAACCGACCAUCCUUUCGAAACUCCCCCAAACACAGCCUUGUAUCUGAGCCCACAGCUCCACCUCCAGGAGACCCUCUCCCCCAAGUCAGCUCCCCGCAUGCUCACAGGGGCUACGAACCUGGGCCAGCCAUGGCCAAGUACGUCAGGAUCCUCUAUGAUUUCACAGCCCGCAACGCCAACGAGCUGUCGGUGCUCAAGGACGAGGUCCUGGAGGUGCUCGAAGAUGGCCACCAGUGGUGGAAGCUUCGCAAUCGCAGUGGCCAGGCAGGCUACGUGCCCUGCAACAUCCUGGAUGAGACUCGGCUGGAGGACGCACCCCAGGAGCGGGAUCGUGGAGAACCUGGGCAUCCUGACCGGGCCCCAGCUCUUCUCGCUCAACAAGGACGAGCUGAAGAAAGUCUGCGGGGAGGAAGGUAUCCGCGUGUACAGCCAGCUCACCGUGCAGAAGGCGGUCCUGGAGAAGCAGCAAGGUGGGUCGGAGCUGGAGGAGCUCAUAAGCAAGUUUCAUUCCAAGACCCAGAGGAGGGUGGAGGACGACAGCUAGACCUGGCCAGCUGGGCCCAGCACACCUGCGGCUGGGGGACACGGAGAUGCACCUGCGGAGAGGCCCACCCCCAGUGCAUGGAGUAUUAUUUUUGUAUGUGUGUAUAUUUUGGACCACGGACACGGGUGGUGGGUGGUGCUGGCUGGGAGCAGCUCACCUGCCUCAUGGCACGUGGCCUGUCCUCGGGCGCAGCGAUGCCUCAGCCCACACCCAUCUGCCUGUCCCAAGGCCCACCUCCCCAAAACUAGCCACCUGGAGAUGCCAGCCCCUCGUGCACCUGCCCCUGAAGCCGGGGCUGCAGCUUUUCCAGCCCCGCCCAGCCCCCUUCCUGGCUUUCAUGACACCUCUCCCUGAGGCCACAGAACCCCCAGGAGGUAGGCAGGGACUUAUCCUUUGGCCUCCUAUCCACAUGGGGGUUCCUCCUGGCACUUGUAACCCUGGCCCCAAACCUCACCCCUGUGGCUGCUACUUCUUCACGCACCUGCACCUGCACACCUCUGGAUGGGCUGUGGGCCAGAAGGGCACUGACCUCAGCACCCUGGGCUCUGAGCUAGGCCUGGCCCCCAGAUAUCGCCCACAGCGCCCACCCAGCACACUGCUCCUCAAGGGUGGCCUGGGGGGCUCCAGGCUCCCCUGGGGUGGGGUGCAUGCUGUUCUCCCUCCACCCAUUCAAGGAGCAUAGAUGGACUGGACAUGUACUCGUCCAAGUAUGGCCUUAGACACCCACACACACCCAAGGCAGAGCUCAAGAUAGGAACUUUCUGGCAGGCUUGCCCUGUGUGCCGUGGGGGUGGUGGGUGAGUCUUGGAGCACUGAACUCUGCAGGUUACACCCAGAGAUGAGAGGUGGCCGAGGUUCCAAAGCCAUGUCAUUAAACCAAUUAAGUAUCCUAGCAGCCAUGUGUCUGUCUCCUGGAGAUGGGGAUGGAGCCCACCUACGAUUGCACGCUUUGUAAGAACCACUGGGCAGAGGCCAGGCCGUGGACAUUUCAAGUGAGGCCAUGUACCCCUGACUCAGUGGGGUUUCCCAGGAGCCCCUCACCUCCACAUGUAUCCGAGUGGGCCCAGAGGAUAUUCCUGGGAGGUGAGGAGCUGAGGGGGCCCUGCUCACUCUGCGUGCUGUGGCUCUCCCAGGCCAGAUGUCCAGAAGGCCCAAAGACUGUAACCGAAGACGGGUGGCAGGCCCGGGAGCCAGGUCUGCCGGACCUCAGGGCGGGCCAGGGAGGGGCCUGAGUCUUGGCGGCAGGGCCGAAGCUUAGCCCCAGGCUGAGGGAGGUGCCCUGGAGAAGGGCCUUGACAGAUAGGGACCAGGUUGGUGGUCAGCUCUGAGGUGUCAGUACAGGAGUGGAGGGGUCCCUGAGCACACAGUGGGCUGCACUCUGCACCUCGAGGACACCAGGCCACCAGGCCAGUGCCCACCUGAGCUCAUCCAGGGCCCCACCCUUGGAGGAGGCCUCUGGCACCCUCUGCUGGCGGCUCUGCGCGCUGUGCUGUGGGCAGUCCAGGGGGCACCCUAGGACCUGGCCAGAUGGGGGCAUCUUGAUCUGCAUUUCCCCAAAGCAGCUGGGGGCCCCGCCCUGGGUAAGGGUGUCUGGAGGGCUCAUUCCUGGGGUCUCUGUGUGGUGGGCAGGGGCAACCGCAGGGAGCGCGAUGCAGAAGCUGUGCCUUGUGGGAUUGGGGUUAGAGAUCUAGAGCCGUCUGUCAGCUGGUCUGCCACGGAGCCAGGCCCAGCCCCCAGGCCUCAGGAGCCCCGACUCUAAGCUAGGACUGUCCUGUCCACCAGGACCUGGUCAGGGGGAGCUGGGCCACCUCUGGGCCUUGAGCACCAUGGCUUCCUCUCCCCAAGAGAGGAAGGUCCUCCCCAAGCCCCAGGCCAAAAGAGGAAGGUUGGUCCUCCCAGACCCAGGCAGGACCUCGCAGACAGGGAAAUAAGACCCAGAAGGAAAAGGGGAGGGAUGGGGUGCCGGCUGUCCCUCCAGAAACCUGCAGAUACUCCUCGUCCAGAACCACCAGGAGGGAUGGGCCCCUGACUGGAGCACCCCCCACCAGCCCUAUUUGGCUGAGCCCCUCCUUUGGAGCAGGGAUGGGCACCCCCAGCUCCACCUGCUCUGAAGGGGGCCUCUGCUGGCCCAGUGGUGCUCACACUAGAACAAGCUCAGAGGGACUGCUCCUGGUCAUGACCCCACCCGGCAGGGCUCUGCCUUCACCAGGACGGUGGUGCUGGCUGGGCUUUGGGGACACUACCUCCAGGCUGGGUCGCUUAUCCCUUGGGAGCCUCAGAACCUACACCUGUUCCCUUGCCCGUCUCUCCCUCCCCUCCUCCAUCCCAUCCACAGGCCACCACUGCUCUGUCCCCCUCUGUCCCCACUGUGCUCCCUGGACAGCUUGAGGAGGACCUGAUCUCCAAGACCCCAAGCCCCUGGUUCCCUAGCUCCCGGCAGCCCUAGGCCAGCUCCCAUUACCCAGGAGCUGCUGGUUCCAAGAUGCUCUGGACCCACCUGUCUGCUGGGCCUCUGGGCUCCUGGAAGAGGCUUCCCCACCACUUCCUGGGAGGCGAGAGUGGUGGGCCCAAAGUCGCAUGGCCUUUAGGGUAGGUGUGACGACAUGAGGGCAUCAUUGUCCAAGGCCACCAGAUUGGGGGAUGACUGAGCUCUACCCACUUUGGCAUCCUGGUGAUCUCAGCGUCCAUAAAAGUAGACUUGGAUGAAGAACAAGGCCCAGAGGGGCCAGGUCACCUGCCCAGAGCCCCAGAGCUGGGGAGGAGCUGGGCUCCAGUGCAGUUUGGCCUGAUCUGUGCCCCUAACCACACACCUCCUCAUCUCCCACAACAGGCUGGCCAAGCAGGGAAGAGGGAGGGUCCGGUGGUGGCAGCCCCAGUGGUGGCGGGGACUGCAGAGGGUGUGCCCAUGGGAGCGUCCCGCUGGGCAAGGGGGCUGAGCUGCCCGCCCAGCGUCCACUCUGUGCCCAGCUCUGCUGCCAGCAAACAUCCCCACAAACAAGGCCCGUCUCUGUUUUGGGCACAGGCAUGUCUUUGUGGCCCUCCCCGGACCAGCUGGCUCCAUUUGCCCCCUCUCCUACACAGAGCGGCCAGGAGGCAAAAGCAGCUUCUUCUUCUUUUUUUAAAGAUUUUAUUUAUUUGACAGAGAGAGAGCACGCACAAGUAGGGGGAACGGCAGAGGGAGAAGCAGGCUCCCCGUGGAGCAAGGAGCCCAAUGCCGGGCUCCAUCCCAGGACCCUGGGAUCAUGACCCGAGCCGAAGGCAGAUGCUUCACCAACUGAGCCACUCGGCGUCCCCAAGUGGGGUCUCUUUAAGAAGAGUCUUUUCUUUUUUUUUUUUUUAAAGAUUUUAUUUAUUUAUUUGUGAGAGAGAGAAUGAGAGAGAGCACAUGACAGGGGGGAGGGUCAGAGGGAGAAGCAGACUCCCCGCCGAGCAGGGAGCCCGACACGGGACUCGAUCCAGGGACUCCGGGAUCAUGACCUGAGCCGAAGGCAGUCGCGUAACCAACUGAGCCACCCAGGCGCCCAAGAAGAGUCUUUUCUUUGUCCUUUCUAUUUUACUUUUUCAAAAUAUGUAAUUUACCAAGAGGUUAGUGCAUAGAAGGGCCAGCACGAGGGGUAAGACAUCCCUCACACCUGUAUCAAGAGGCCAGAGAUAGAAUGGAGGCAAGAGGGGCACCUGUUUCCUGGACCAGGUGGCACUUGGCAGGGCUGACAGCAGCUAAGAGAGGACUCACGGGAGAGGGCGGCACUGAGAAGGUGGCUCUGUGUCUGGAGAAACAGAGAGACGACCCUAUGACUCUCCCCCACAAGCAUGAGAGAAUCCCAGAGGCAUUAAACCAUUCACGUGAGAGGAAAAUUAUCAGGUUCCUGGAAGAAAAUGUGGGAAACAUCUUUGUGAUGAAGCUGAGGAAGAAUUUUCUGUGCAACACUUCAAAAUGAGCUGAUGAGUUUGGCUUCAUCAAAUUGAGGAUGUAGCUCGCCAGUGGCCCACGGGCAUGGCUGACGGGGAGCCAGGGAGCCCGAGGCUUCGCCAACAGCGGGGCCCACCUGCAGCACACGCCGGCAGCAGGCCUGGGGGGUGCACCGUCCCACGGGGGCCCCAGACUCUUUCGGGGGCCCUGAGCUCUAAGCUAGUUUCCUAACAACACAGAAGUGUGUUGAAGGUUGAAUUGUGCCCCCAUCCCGCAGAUUCAUACAAGAUAGGGUCGUUAGGUUGGGCCUUAAUCCCCAUGACGGCUGUCCUUGUAAUAAGGACACUGGACAGGUGCACCCGUCACGGGAAGGUGGAGGCAGAGGUGUGAUGGGUCAUCUACAAGACGAGAAGCAUCAGCGAUGGCCUGCUACCUGCAGCAGGGGUAUGAGCAGAGAGAACCAGCCCAGCCAGCACCUGAUCCCAGACGCCGGCCUCCCGAAUUCCUGCUGCUUAAGCCUGGCAUUUGAUGGUGCUUUGUUAUGGCCAUCCCAGGGAUGAUACAAAGUCCACCCACGCUCUGGCAGGUGUCAGCGUGUCCCUCCGUGUUCAGGCUGAGUGAUGUGGUUCGGUGUGUGGAUGGACCACGUUUAUCCGCUCGUCCGUCGACGACGCUUGGGCUGCUUCCCUGUGUCGGCGGCUGUGAACGUGGGUGUGCAAGCAUCCACUCGCGUCCCUGCUUUCGGUUCUCUGGGUCAAUACCUAGAAGAGGAAUCGCUGGAACACACGGUCACUCCAUUUUCAGCUGUUUGAGAACCGCCACGCCGUUUUCCACGGCUGCUGCACCGGCUUCCUUUCCCGCCGAGUGUGCGGGAGGGUCCACCCUGCACGUGCUCCCACUCGCGGGGUUUCUGCCGUCAGUGGACAAUAGCCGUCUUCAGGGCCGCAGGCGGGUCCUCGCCGUGGCUCUGAUGUGCGUGUCCCUGAUGAGCAAGGACGUGGGCAUCUCCCCUGCUGGCUGGCCAGUUGUAGGUCUUCCCUGGGCAGACGUCGGCUCCAGUCCCCCGCCCAUCUUUGAAUCAGGUUGUUGUUUUAUUGUUGAGAUUUAGGAGUUCUCUGUAUGUUCUGGAAACUAAGCCCUUACCAGAUGCGUGACUUGCAAAUAUUUUCUUCUAUUUCAUGAGGUCUCUUCCCAGCCUGUUGAUGGUGUCCUUUGACGCACAGAAGUUUGUAAAUUUUUGGUUUGCAAUCUCAUUUCUUCUUUGGAGUUAGGGUUGAGGGGAAACAGAGGUUGUUUCCAAACAGAGGAAUAAACUUUUCUGCUGAGUUUGUAUCCUGAAAGUUUUUUUUUUUAAUUUUUUUUAAAUUUAUUUAUUCAUGAAAGUCAGAGAGAGAGGCAGAGGCAGAAGCAGAGGGCGAGAAGCAGGCUCCCCGCCUAGCAGGGAGCCCGAUGCGGGACUCGAUCCCAGAACCCUGGGAUCAUGACCUGAGCCGAAGGCAGACGCUUAACCAUCUGAGCCACCCAGGCGCCCUGUCUCCUGAAAGUUUUAAAUAAGCAGCAGAGGAGGGGGAAGAUAGGCAGCUGGUAAACUGGGGCCCAGGGUCGCCACCCCCCUUCCAUGUUGGCCCCCAGACAUCCUGUUCCAAACGAAAGUACAGUAGGGAAGGCAACUAUCCCACUCUUCUUAUUCUGCUCAUUAAUGAUCGAGAUGAGGGGAUAGAGAAGGAGGUGCCACCCAUGUCCCCAAGACCCGGGGCACAGGUCCAUCCGUUCUGAGGUAGGUUCCCUGACGAGGAGAACAAAGGUGAGAGAAAUGUCCCUACAACCUGCCGCCAGCUGAUAAAUCCCUGAGCGUGACCUUCCUCCAGGAGCUCAUGGCCGCCUCAGUGUUGAUGUUUUACUGGGCACUAAACGCAACCUUAUCCUGACGGCACCGGCCGUCCUCAGUCCUGUAAACCUCCCGUUCUGCAUACAGAAGCUCCUUGCAAACUUACGCUGUCCCCACCCCCACUCUGCCCUCUCAAAAGUGUAUCAUCAGCCACUCCUUACGACCCCGGUGCAGCCCCUCCUGCCCACGGGCCUGUCCCCGCACUUUAAUAAAACCACUUUUUUGCACCAAAGUCGUCUCAAGAAUUCUUUCUUGG